rnacentral:rRNA from 1 species
AAGCGCUUGCAAUCAGACUUGCUUUCGGUUGAUCAAUGUUCCUUUUGGUUCAUGCACUCUUCUGUUUGCAGGCCAGCAUCAGUUAAAGCAAUAGGUUAAAGAUUUCAGGAAUGUGGCUCUCUUCGGGGAGUGUUAAGCCUGUUAUGUCAUACUAUUAGCGUUUGACUGAGGUCCGCGGAUUUUUUCCUAGGAUGCUGGCUUAAUGAUUGU